CAGUUUGACAACCUCUUUCUUCUUCAGCACCCGCAUCAAUUGAUUCUCUUCGUUUGUGGACAAAUUAUUGCUGAUGAUCACGGGUUUAGUACAGUUAUCAUCAAGGUACACAUAUUUCAAAUGUGGCUCCAGUUUUGGUUCCUCCACUAUAUUGGUCAUAUCCACGCCUUCCCUUGUCUCAUCAUGAUAGAAAAGUUCUCCGUAAGCCUCUAAUUCAUGCAACCAU
rnacentral:lncRNA from 1 species